rnacentral:tRNA from 1 species
GUGUCUGUAGCCUAGUGGUAAAAGGCAGCAACUCUAGUAAUGCUGAGGUUGUGGGUUUGAAUCCCACCAGACACA